AAUCGUUUAUUAAUUGUUAUUCUUUUAUUAAUUGUCAUUCUUUACUAUUUUAUUUCCUUCUUUUGUCAUUCAGAGCGAAGCGAAGAAUCUCUUUCCUUCUCCAAGUGAGAUUCCUCACGGUGUUCGGAAUGACAAACGCGGUUAUUGGUGUUCUUUGCGUUUACCCUUGCGUUCUUUGCGGUAAAGAAUAAACCGCAAGGUUCGCAAAGGGGUUCGCAAGGUUUCAUUCAGGCUUCCAGCCCUCCGCUGAGGGAUUGCCCUGUUUCCCCAACGCUGCGCAUUGGGCUGAAUUAACACGCCCUUUCAGGGCUCUUACAGCAGUCAGCCGUCAACUCUGCAUUCCCCCUUUGAAGGGGGGCUGGGGGGAUGUUCAUAUCAACGUCAUGACGGGCGAACACAGAGGUUCGCCCCUACGCGGCGUACCGAAAUGGGAAUGCGCCCAACCGCCCCCCACAACAACUCAAUACCUCAACAAUUCUCUUCACUUUUCACUAUUCGUUUCUCACUUUUCACUUCCCUUGUCAUUCAGAGCGAAGCGAAGAAUCUCUUUCCUUCUCCAAGUGAGAUUCCUCACGGUGUUCGGAAUGACAAAGAGGAGACGUUCGGAAUGACAAAGAGGAGGCAUUCAUAAUUCGUCAUUCUAAUAUGCAUUCAGCGAAUAAUCAAACAACUCAACAUGCAAACGCCCUUGGGACUUUUA
rnacentral:sRNA from 1 species